GCAGCCGCGGUAAUACGUAUGGUGCAAGCGUUAUCCGGAUUUACUGGGUGUAAAGGGAGCGCAGGCGGUACGGCAAGUCUGAUGUGAAAGCCCGGGGCUCAACCCCGGUACUGCAUUGGAAACUGUCGAACUAGAGUGUCGGAGGGGUAAGCGGAAUUCCUAGUGUAGCGGUGAAAUGCGUAGAUAUUAGGAGGAACACCAGUGGCGAAGGCGGCUUACUGGACGAUAACUGACGCUGAGGCUCGAAAGCGUGGGGAGCAAACAGGAUUAGAUACCCC
rnacentral:rRNA from 1 species